rnacentral:lncRNA from 1 species
UCACGGUUUUUAAAAUGAUGGUUUAUUUUAUUUUUAUGGCACAGAGAGACUGCUGAAGAGACAGACGGAUGAAAAAAAUUUAAUAAGUCUUCCUUAGAAGGUUGAAUGCUGCAUAUUGUUAGAACUUGGAAAAUAUCUCCCACCUGGAACCAUCCAAGACACUGAAAAGCUGUGAAACUAUGAACAAACAGCAAAAUAGGAAAUGAAAAAUAUUCAUAGGGAUUUUUAAAAAUAGAAAUAUCUUGGCCUAAACACUAAAUUUGAAAAUGAAACUAUCCCAGCUUCUUUUAAAUACACGUCUUCAUUACUGAUUCUCUCCGAUGGAAACAUAUUUGGAUGCUUUCAACCAGACGCGUUCUCUGUGCAUCUAUCUCUCCAUCAGUAUAUUCCUGGCAUGAUCUUUGUCACUGAUACUUUCAUUUGGACAAGAUAGCCUUGUGUAUUAAGCAAAACCCAAAAUAUGCCAAAUGUGAUGAACUGUUUCAGCUUUGAAAACAUCAGCUCAGAAAACUUUGUGUUGUCAAGACCUCUGUUACAAGACUCUGCCCCAAGAUUCUUCAAAAAAUGUCAAAGCCACACUUAGCUCCUUGGAAACGAGAGUCCCUAACAAAGGAUUUGCUAGUGAUUGCUGGCAGAAGGUAGGUCACAACUGGUCUUGCAACUCAUAAUAAUCCCAAGCACUGCACUCUGAAUAAGAAAUUACAGUAUAUUCAGAACAAAUAUUUCUUUAUUAGUUAAUCUCUUUGUGGUAAAGAACCAAGAAGGACAUAGAUUUUAUUUUCAAUUUCAAGAUAGAAAAGUAAAC